GCCGGUAUAGCUCAGCUGGUAGAGCAACUGACUUGUAAUCAGUAGGUCCCGGGUUCGAUUCCUGGUGCCGGCACCA
rnacentral:tRNA from 90 species